rnacentral:rRNA from 1 species
CAAUAGCGUAUAUUUAAGUUGUUGCAGUUAAAAAGCUCGUAGUUGGAUUUCGGGUGGGACGCAGCGGUCUCGCAUUGCGUUUGUACUGCUGCAGCCCUCCUUCUUGCCGGGGGCGGCCUCUCGGACUUCACUGUCUGGGGGUCAGAAUCGGCGAUGUUACUUUGAGUAAAUUAGAGUGUUCAAAGCAAGCUUACGCUCUGAAUAUAAUAGCAUGGGAUAACACGACAGGACUCUGGCCUAUCGUGUUGGUCUAUAGGACCAGAGUAAUGAUUAAGAGGGACAGUCGGGGGCAUUCGCAUUCCGUUGUCAGAGGUGAAAUUCUUGGAUUUACGGAAGACGAACAUCUGCGAAAGCAUUUGCCAAGGAUGUUUUCAUUG